UCGGGAAUUUUGGGCAAUGGGGGAAACCCUGACCCAGCAACGCCGCGUGAAGGAUGAAGUAUUUCGGUAUGUAAACUUCGAAAGAAUAGGAAGAAUUAAUGACGGUACUAUUUAUAAGGUCCGGCUAACUACGUGCCAGCAGCCGCGGUAAUACGUAGGGACCAAGCGUUGUUCGGAUUUACUGGGCGUAAAGGGCGCGUAGGCGGCAUGGCAAGUCACUUGUGAAAUCUCCGAGCUUAACUCGGAACGGCCAAGUGAUACUGCCGCGCUAGAGUGCGGAAGGGGCAAUCGGAAUUCUUGGUGUAGCGGUGAAAUGCUUAGAUAUCAAGAGGAACACCUGAGGUGAAGACGGGUUGCUGGGCCGACACGUGACGCUGAGGCGCGAAAGCCAGGGGAGCAAAC
rnacentral:rRNA from 1 species